CUGCCGGUGUUAAACCGGUAGGAAGGUGGGGAUGACGUCAAGUCCUCAUGGCCCUUAUGUCCAGGGCUACACACGUGCUACAAUGGCCGGUACAAAGGGCAGCAAAGCCGCGAGGUGGAGCCAAUCCCAGAAAGCCGGUCUCAGUUCGGAUUGGAGUCUGCAACUCGACUCCAUGAAGUUGGAAUCGCUAGUAAUCGCGGAUCAGCAUGCCGCGGUGAAUACGUUCCCGGGCCUU
rnacentral:rRNA from 1 species